rnacentral:rRNA from 1 species
CCUACGGGGGGCAGCAGUGAGGAAUAUUGGUCAAUGGGCGAGAGCCUGAACCAGCCAAGUAGCGUGAAGGAUGACUGCCCUAUGGGUUGUAAACUUCUUUUAUAAAGGAAUAAAGUCGGGUAUGGAUACCCGUUUGCAUGUACUUUAUGAAUAAGGAUCGGCUAACUCCGUGCCAGCAGCCGCGGUAAUACGGAGGAUCCGAGCGUUAUCCGGAUUUAUUGGGUUUAAAGGGAGCGUAGAUGGAUGUUUAAGUCAGUUGUGAAAGUUUGCGGCUCAACCGUAAAAUUGCAGUUGAUACUGGAUAUCUUGAGUGCAGUUGAGGCAGGCGGAAUUCGUGGUGUAGCGGUGAAAUGCUUAGAUAUCACGAAGAACUCCGAUUGCGAAGGCAGCCUGCUAAGCUGCAA